UACAGAGGUGGCAAGCGUUGUUCGGAAUUACUGGGCGUAAAGGGCGCGUAGGCGGCCGCUUAAGUCAGACGUGAAAUCCCCACGCUUAACGUGGGAACGGCGUCUGAUACUGGGGGGCUCGAGUUCGGGAGAGGAAUGUGGAAUUCCAGGUGUAGCGGUGAAAUGCGUAGAUAUCUGGAGGAACACCGGUGGCGAAGGCGGCAUUCUGGACCGAAACUGACGCUGAGGCGCGAAAGCCAGGGGAGCAAACGGG
rnacentral:rRNA from 1 species